GAGUUUGAUCCUGGCUCAGGAUGAACGCUGGCGGCGUGCCUAAUACAUGCAAGUCGAGCGAACGGACGAGAAGCUUGCUUCUCUGAUGUUAGCGGCGGACGGGUGAGUAACACGUGGGUAACCUACCUAUAAGACUGGGAUAACUCCGGGAAACCGGGGCUAAUACCGGAUAACACAUGAAACCGCAUGGUUUCAUGAUGAAAGACGGUCUUGCUGUCACUUAUAGAUGGAUCCGCGCUGCAUUAGCUAGUUGGUAAGGUAACGGCUUACCAAGGCAACGAUGCAUAGCCGACCUGAGAGGGUGAUCGGCCACACUGGAACUGAGACACGGUCCAGACUCCUACGGGAGGCAGCAGUAGGGAAUCUUCCGCAAUGGGCGAAAGCCUGACGGAGCAACGCCGCGUGUGUGAUGAAGGUCUUCGGAUCGUAAAACUCUGUUAUUAGGGAAGAACAUAUGUGUAAGUAACUGUGCACAUCUUGACGGUACCU
rnacentral:rRNA from 1 species